rnacentral:rRNA from 1 species
GUGUCAGCCGCCGCGGUAAGACAGAGGGUGCGAGCGUUGUUCGGAAUUACUGGGCGUAAAGCGCGCGCAGGCGGAUCCUGCAAGUCGGAAGUGAAAUGUGGCUGCUCAACGGCUACGCUGCUUCCGAUACUGCGGAUCUGGGGACCGGUAGAGGCUGGUGGAAUUGCAGGUGUAGCGGUGGAAUGCGUAGAGAUCUGCAAGAACACCCGUGGCGAAGGCGGCCAGCUGGGCCGGAUCCGACGCUGAGGCGCGAAAGCGUGGGGAGCAAACAGGAUUAGAAACCCCCGUAGUCC